rnacentral:rRNA from 1 species
UACGUAGGGUGCAAGCGUUAAUCGGAAUGACUGGGCGUAAAGGGUGCGUAGGCGGCUUGUUAAGUCAGGGGUGAAAUCCCACGGCCCAACCGUGGAACUGCCUUUGAUACUGGCGAGCUUGAGUGCGUGAGGGGUAACCGGAACGAGUAGUGUAGCGGUGAAAUGCGUAGAUAUUACUCGGAAGGCCAAAGGCGAAGGCAGGUUACUGGUACGCAACUGACGCUGAUGCACGAAAGCGUGGGGAGCAAACAGG